rnacentral:rRNA from 1 species
UACGUAGGGGGCAAGCGUUGUCCGGAAUUAUUGGGCGUAAAGAGCGUGUAGGCGGUCCGGUAAGUCAGCUGUGAAAGUCGGGGGCUCAACCCUCGAAUGCCGGUGGAUACUGUCGGGCUAGAGUGCGGAAGAGGCGAGUGGAAUUCCUGGUGUAGCGGUGAAAUGCGUAGAUAUCGGGAGGAACACCAGUGGCGAAGGCGACUACCUGGCCUGUUCUUGACGCUGAGGCGCGAAAGCUAGGGGAGCAAACGGG